rnacentral:rRNA from 1 species
AUUGAACGCUGGCGGCAGGCCUAACACAUGCAAGUCGAGCGACCGGCGGACGGGUGAGUAAUGUAUGGGGACUGCCCGAUAGAGGGGGCUAACUACUGGAAACGGUGGCUAAUACCGCAUACAGUCGGAUAACCCAUUGGGGAUUAGCUAGUAGGUAAGGUAAUGGCUAACCUAGGCGACGAUCCCUAGCUGGUCUGAGAGGUUGAUCAGCCACACUGGGACUGAGAGCCGGCCCAGACUCCUACGGAGGCAGCAGUGGGGAAUAUUGCACAAUGGGCGCAAGCCUGAUGCAGCCAUGCCGCGUGUAUGAAGAAGGCCCUAGGGUUGUAAAGUACUUUCAGUCGGGAGGCGUUACCGACAGAAGAAGCACCGGCUAACUCCGUGCCAGCAGCCGCGGUAAUAC